GUGGGGAAUAUUGGACAAUGGGGGGAACCCUGAUCCAGCCAUGCCGCGUGUGUGAAGAAGGCCUUUUGGUUGUAAAGCACUUUAAGCGAGGAGGAGGCUACCGAGAUUAAUACUCUUGGAUAGUGGACGUUACUCGCAGAAUAAGCACCGGCUAACUCUGUGCCAGCAGCCGCGGUAAUACAGAGGGUGCGAGCGUUAAUCGGAUUUACUGGGCGUAAAGCGUGCUUAGGCGGCUUUUUAAGUCGGAUGUGAAAUCCCCGAGCUUAACUUGGGAAUUGCAUUCGAUACUGGGAAGCUAGAGUAUGGGAGAGGAUGGUAGAAUUCCAGGUGUAGCGGUGAAAUGCGUAGAGAUCUGGAGGAAUACCGAUGGCGAAGGCAGCCAUCUGGCCUAAUACUGACGCUGAGGUACGAAAGCAUGGGGAGCAAACAGGAUUAGAAACCCCGGUAGUCC
rnacentral:rRNA from 1 species